rnacentral:rRNA from 1 species
AACGUAGGACGCAAGCGUUAUCCGGAGUUACUGGGCGUAAAGCGCGGGCAGGCGGCUCGAAACGUCUGAUGUGAAAUCUCCUCGCUCAACGGGGAGAGGCCAUUGGAAACGGUCGGGCUGGAGGGCAGUAGAGGCAGGCGGAAUUCCGGGUGGAGUGGUGAAAUGCGUAGAGAUCCGGAGGAACACCAGUGGCGAAGGCGACUUUCUGGCCUGUUCUUGACGCUGAGGCGCGAAAGCUAGGGGAGCAAACGGG